AGUAUCCUAAUUUUUCAGAUGGCUUGAGCUGUAUGGGUCAGCUUUAGUUUGUGACUGCUGUGACUACAGCUGCAGUUCUACCACUACAGAAAACCAAUCCACCAAAACCAUUAGCAGCAAACCUUGGACAAUACAACCUGAAGUUAAAACCACCAAAAAAACCACGAAGAAGAAAACGACUUCAUUCACAACAGCAUCAACAGCUUCAACGCGUUCCAAGGAAGAGGGAAGAGUCACAUCGAAGCCUAAAGGACGUUCACGUAUUCGUUUGGGUAAGCUGGAGAACACGGGGAACAAAACAGUCUGGCCCUUCAACGGUGGAGUGAGCGUGACAUGGGUCACGUCGGAAAGUGAGAAAAAGCAAACGAACGGCUCCGCUGUCAAAGAGGAACAAGUAGAGACUUCUGUGGGAAAGGGGGAAGUAAAGAAUGCCACUGUGGAGCAAGAGAAGGGAAAAGAAGAGGUGGCGGCAACGCUGCCGCACCUUAUCUUUGAAGACAUCUUUGAUUUUGGUAAAUAAAGUAGUAAUGGUGAUGUGCAAAAACAAAAA